UUGGCCUACGGGGGGCAGCAGUGGGGAAUAUUGCACAAUGGGCGAAAGCCUGAUGCAGCAACGCCGCGUGAAGGAAGAAGGUCUUCGGAUCGUAAACUUCUGUCCUUGGGGAAGAUAAUGACGGUACCCUUGGAGGAAGCCCCGGCUAACUCCGUGCCAGCAGCCGCGGUAAUACGGAGGAUGCGAGCGUUAUCCGGAUUUAUUGGGUUUAAAGGGUGCGUAGGCGGAAUGCCAAGUCAGCGGUAAAAUCGCGGGGCUCAACCUCGCUCCGCCGUUGAAACUGGCGUUCUUGAGUGGGCGAGAAG
rnacentral:rRNA from 1 species